UACGUAGGGUGCAGGCGUUAAUCGGAAUUACUGGGCGUAAAGCGUGCGCAGGCGGUCUGCUAAGACAGGUGUGAAAUCCCCGGGCUUAACCUGGGAACUGCGCUUGUAACUGGCAGGCUUGAGUGUGGCAGAGGGGGGUGGAAUUCCGCGUGUAGCAGUGAAAUGCGUAGAGAUGCGGAGGAACACCGAUGGCGAAGGCAGCCCCCUGGGCUAACACUGACGCUGAGGCACGAAAGCGUGGGGAGCAAACAGG
rnacentral:rRNA from 1 species